GUGUCAGCAGCCGCGGUAAGACGAACCUUGCUAACGUUAUUCGGAAUUACUGGGCUUAAAGGGUGCGUAGGCGGCGGAGUAAGUCGGGUGUGAAAUCCCUCAGCUCAACUGAGGAAUUGCGCCCGAAACUACUUUGCUAGAGGAAGAUAGGGGUACGCGGAACUUAGGGUGGAGCGGUGAAAUGCGUUGAUAUCCUAAGGAACACCGGUGGCGUAAGCGGCGUACUGGGUCUUUUCUGACGCUGAGGCACGAAAGCUAGGGGAGCGAACGGGAUUAGAUACCCCCGUAGUCC
rnacentral:rRNA from 1 species